rnacentral:rRNA from 1 species
GAUGAACGCUGGCGGCGUGCCUAAUACAUGCCAGUCGAGCGAACGGACGAGAAGCUUGCUUCUCUGAUGUUAGCGGCGGACGGGUGAGUAACACGUGGAUAACCUACCUAUCAGACUGGGAUAACUUCGGGAAACCGGCGCUAAUACCGGAUAAUAUUUUGUACCGCAUGGUUCAAAAGUGAAAGACGGUCUUGCUGUCACUUAUAGAUGGAUCUGCGCUGCAUUAGCUAGUUGGUAAGGUAACGGCUUACCAAGGCAACGAUGCAUAGCCGACCGGAGAGGGGGAACGGCCACACUGGAACGGAGACACGGCCCAGACUCCUACGGGAGGCAGCGGUAGGGAAUCUUCCGCAAUGGGCGAAAGCCUGACGGAGCAACGCCGCGUGAGUGAUGAAGGUCUUCGGAUCGUAAAACUCUGUUAUUAGGGAAGAACAUAUGUGUAAGUAACUGUGCACAUCUUGACGGUACCUAAUCAGAAAGCCACGGCUAACUACGUG